rnacentral:rRNA from 1 species
GUGAGGAAUUUUCCGCAAUGGGCGAAAGCCUGACGGAGCAAUGCCGCGUGAAGGAUGAAGGCCUAUGGGUUGUAAACUUCUUUUCUCAGAAAAGAAUUAUGACGGUAUCUGAGGAAUAAGCAUCGGCUAACUCUGUGCCAGCAGCCGCGGUAAGACAGAGGAUGCAAGCGUUAUCCGGAAUGAUUGGGCGUAAAGCGUCUGUAGGUUGUUUAAAAAGUAUUCUGUCAAAGAUUAGGGCUUAACCCUAGAUAGGCAGAAUAAACUUUUAAGCUAGAGUUUGGUAGAGGCAGAGGGAAUGCCCGGUGGAGCGGUGAAAUGCGUAGAUAUCGGGAGGAACACCAAAGGCGAAGGCACUCUGCUGGGCAAAUACUAACACUGAGAGACGAAAGCGAGGGGAGCAAAUGGGAUUAGAUACCCCGGUAGUCC